ACACGUAGGGGGCAAGCGUUGUUCGGAAUUAUUGGGCGUAAAGGGCAUGUAGGCGGUUUUGUAAGCCUGGUGUGAAAUCCUGCAGCUUAACUGUAGAAUUGCAUUGGGUACUGCAAGACUUGAAUCACGGAGGGGAAACUAGAAUUCCAGGUGUAGGGGUGGAAUCUGUAGAUAUCUGGAAGAAUACCGGUGGCGAAGGCGGGUUUCUAGCCGAUGAUUGACGCUGAGGUGCGAAAGUGCGGGGAGC
rnacentral:rRNA from 1 species